rnacentral:SRP_RNA from 1 species
GCCAGGCACAGUGGCGCGUGCCUGUAGUCCCAGCUACCUGGGAGGCUGAGGUGGGAGGAUCGCUUGAGCCCAGGCGUUCUGGGCUGUAGUGGCUAUACCAAUCAGGUGUCCACAAUAAGUUCGGCAUCAGUAUGGUGACCUCCCGGGAGUGCGGGACCACCAGGUUGCCUAAGGAUGGGUGAAUCGGCCCAGGUCAGAAACAGAACAGGUCAAAACUCCCAUGCUGAUCAGUAGUGGAAUCGCGCCUGUGAAUAGUCACUGCACUUCAGUCUGGGCAACAUAGUGAGACCCCAUCUCU